rnacentral:rRNA from 1 species
UACGGAGGGUGCAAGCGUUGUCCGGAAUCACUGGGCGUAAAGGGCGCGUAGGCGGCUCAUGAAGGCUGUGGUGAAAGUCCGGGGCUCAACCUCGGAUCGGCCGUGGCGACUCGUGGGCUGGAGCACUGUAGAGGCGGGUGGAAUUCCGGGUGUAGCGGUGGAAUGCGUAGAGAUCCGGAAGAACACCAGUGGCGAAGGCGGCCCGCCGGGCAGUGGCUGACGCUGAGGCGCGACAGCGUGGGGAGCAAACAGG